UUGAUGUUUUAAAUACCAUGUCAGACCCACCCACACUAAUUACUUCAUUUCCUCAUCUUUCCACUUUCUUUGAUCAAAACAGAAAGCUGAGAAAAAAGUGAAAAAGUGGAAAGGCUGGACAGCAGAGGCGAGAGAGGCGGCUGAACAUGUUCACCUGGAAGUCGUCCAAAUUAUGGGAGCUUUUCACGCACUAAACAUGGCUCUUAAGACUUUGGAUGCUCAACUCGAUGACUUCAUAUCUGCUUGGCUUGCUCAAAAUGGUGGCCGUUAAAUCAUCUCUUUUCCUGGUCUUUGUGGUGGGGAUCAGAUGAACUGGUAUUCUGGAGCUGUCUCUCUCAUGGCGUUUUCUUUGUGUUUCAUAGUAGUAUGUAAUGUUGUUGUGUGAGAUGAAUGGAAGAUAUUGCAGUCCUGAUUUGAAUA